rnacentral:tRNA from 1 species
CGGGAUGUAGCGCAGUUGGUAGCGUACUGCGUUCGGGACGCAGGGGUCGCCAGUUCGAGUCUGGUCAUCCCGACAA